GUCCCUGUAGCGCAAUGGAUACUGCGUUGGACUUCUAAUCCAAAGAUCGUGGGUUCGAAUUCCACCUGGGAUG
rnacentral:tRNA from 1 species